CGGCCUGCGCGGAAGAUGUAACGGGGCUAAAUUAGUAACCGAAGCUGCGGAUUCACGCUUUGCGUGAGUGGUAGGGGAGCGUUCUGUAAGCUGUUGAAGGUGUGUUGUAAAGCAUGCUGGAGGUAUCAGAAGUGCGAAUGCUGACAUGAGUAACGAUAAAGCGGGUGAAAAACCCGCUCGCCGAAAGACCAAGGUUUCCUGUCCCAUGCUAAUCAGGGCAGGGUAAGUCGGCCCCUAAGGCGAGGCAGAGAUGCGUAGUCGAUGGGAAACAGGUUAAUAUUCCUGUACUUUUAUUAACUGCGAUGGAGAGACGGAGAAGGCUAAACUAGCUUGGCGUUGGUUGUCCAAGUGAAAGUAAGUAGGCUAAAGUUCUAGGCAAAUCCGGAACUUUAUUAGGCUGAGAUACGAGACGAGCUACCAAGGUAGCGAAGUAGUUGAUGCCCGGCUUCCAGGAAAAUCUUCUAAGCUAUAGGUUAAUAAGAACCGUACCCGAAACCGACACAGGUGGUCAGGUAGAGAAUACUAAGGCGCUUGAGAGAACCCGGGUGAAGGAACUAGGCAAAAUAGUACCGUAACUUCGGGAGAAGGUACGCCACGUUAUUGUGAAGGGCUUUACGCCUGGAGCGAGAGGUGGUCGAAGUAACCAGGUGGCUGGAACUGUUUAUUAAAAACACAGCACUGUGCAAAAUCGAAAGAUGACGUAUACGGUGUGACACCUGCCCGGUGCCGGAAGGUUAAUUGAUGGGGUUAUCCUUUGGAGAAGCUCUUGAUCGAAGCCCCGGUAAACGGCGGCCGUAACUAUAACGGUCCUAAGGUAGCGAAAUUCCUUGUCGGGUAAGUUCCGACCUGCACGAAUGGUGUAAUCAUGGCCACGCUGUCUCCACCCGGGACUCAGUGAAAUUGAACUUGCUGUGAAGAUGCAGUGUACCCGCGGCUAGACGGAAAGACCCCGUGAACCUUUACUAUAGCUUGGCAGUGAACAUUGAACCUACAUGUGUAGGAUAGGUGGGAGGCUUUGAAGCAUGCACGCCAGUGUGUGUGGAGCCAUCCUUGAAAUACCACCCUUGUAUGUUUGAUGUUCUAACGUUGUCCCAUUAUCU
rnacentral:rRNA from 1 species